rnacentral:pre_miRNA from 1 species
GAUUUCAACUGAAAAAGUUAUCAACAACAAAGUUGAAUAACUCAUCAAGAUCUAAAACUUUUAUUUUGGUUAUUUCUUCAUCUGAUAAAAUGUUAGUAACAUUGUUCACAAAUUUUACAUAUAUGUGUUAUAGUUUAUAAAACCAGAUAAGAGAUAUGUCAAUUUUGUGAACAAUGUUACUAUCACUUUAUCAGAUGAAGAAAUGACCAAAAUAAAAGUUUUAUAUCUUGAUGAGUUAUUCAACUUUGUUGUUGAUAACUUUUUCAGUUGAAAUC